UGUCUGUGGCUUACCAAUGGCGGACUGGAAGGGGGUGGGGCUUAUCAAUUCGGUCAGCACGAACCAGGUGUGGUAAAGUCACUUUUGCGGGGAUUUUUAGCGGACGUGUAAACUGUAGCUCAGGCUACAUUUGCCAGACCGUGACGUGAAGAUCAAGACGUCGUCAGGCUGAAUUCAACAGUGAACCAGUUUGGCUGGCGGCUUGUUGGGGUUCUGUUACCUGCUAACGCCUAAUGUGAGAGAGGUUGCGGUACUUUAGCCACUUCCUGCGAGCAGACCUCUCGUCACCCUCCCUGAUGGUUUCUAAUGUUCAGGGAGGGACUGAAGCCCAGAGAAGAUGGAAGUGUGGAUGGAGAGAUAGCAGGGUGGGAGAACACAGCAAAGAGGCAUCUUGACAUUCUCCUCUUGCCAACUCCCACCUUCUCCUUGCCCACCUACUUUGCGAUGCCAUCAGGGAGAUACUUGAAAGGUAUUUGAAACUGUCUUCCUUAAUCAUUUCCCGGAUCCCGCAGGACAUACUUUGUGACGUGACAGGAGGAAGGACUGAGGGAAGGAAAGAGAAGUGCGGGGGGUUGAUGUUACACAUCAGUCAGGUCCUCUCCAAGGGUUCAGGAGGAACGCCCAAUGACACAGAUGGAAGGUCUGAAGUUGUAGAAACUGAUCCAUCCCAGGUUUUCUGGUUGAAGGUUGAAGUAAAUAAAUUGUCUUCAAGGAGCUACAAGAAUUAAUACAAUUCACAUGACUCCAUGUUAUAAUAUUGACUGUUUUUGUAGUUCAGAUAUCCAGUUAUAGUAUUUUUGCAGUU